UAUUUUGCGUUUUGGCGUCGUGUUCUCUCGUAUCUGUUCACUUAUUGUUAUAUUAUGGAUCUGGAGAAGAACGUUUUCUAUUCAUCUUGCUGUAUUUUGACCAUGCAAGUAAUGCUCGUUCCUGAAUACGACUUGUGAAUUCGAGUGAAGCCGAAAUCCAAGUCUCAGUGGCGACAUACGACGCACAUACUUUUUCUCCCAGGACUAACACGAUUCGUUCCACAAGUACAUGUACUAGUCUUUCAAAUCUCGUUGGCGGACUUGCUCUGUUGAAAAUUCACUAAGAGCAUAAACUAUCCUCGUACCAAACUAAAUCUCAAAGAAGCUUCUCUUGAUAUUUGUGCCUCAAACAACAGGCAUCCAAAGUUUCAAUGCACACACAUUUCAUAUGAGGCAUCGUGUUUAUUGCAUUCAUUCUGGGAGCAGUAGGAUGGAGCUAUAGUUUCCUCUAGUUUGUUGUCGACUCUAGAUAUCUGAUAGUAAACUGUGAGAGAUUAUCGGGAACGAUCUAGAAAAAACAUUAAAUUGUAUACCAGUUUGAGCUUUAUCAAGUCUUAGUGGUCAGGCCCUGGGCCGAUCGUGCAAAUGCUCGGAUUACAUCCGAUCGCUCUGAAAUUUCGGCUGUAGCAUGUAAACAUUCUAAGCCAAUCACAUGGUGAGUUUUAGCUCCGAACUAUCAAACGUGACCUCGGGAGCCCGAUCCAAAAAUUAUUUGCGUACGAUUUCAGUCUGCGAGAAUGGCGUCCGAUGCGAAACGCUAGAGAUACAGCGUAGCUAAGGCUUUAGAGGUGAUUUUUGACGAUGGAAGUGAGCAUGGUGGUAUCUCUAGUGGUGAGGAAUCCGAAUUAGAUUGAAAACUGGAAAAUCCUAGCGAAGAAUCGAGGAAUGACCCGCGGAGUAAUCACCCACAAGUGUGGCGUCUGGAGCGGUUGAAUCGAUCCGCCGGCCCCAAACCACAGUGUGCAGGGUGUAAGAAAGUGUCCUUUGAUACUGGUGAUAUUCUGUUGGCGGUUGAUGCUCUUUACGUUCCACGCAACAAGGAACUUUGUGUUCAGCGAUCGUAUAGAUUCUGUGUCGACGCUCCGUGCUUCUCCGAAGUGCCAAGGUUUUCAAACUUAAAACCAGCCAGAAACGCACUUGCCGGUCGAGGAGCGACUCAUGAAAACAUUGAAAGAGCAUUCUCUAUGGUGCUAACAAUUGAGUCAAUGCAACCUCACACUGAAUUCUGAAAGUAGAACGAAACAGUUGUUUUUGUUGAGCGACAUGUUUUAACUCGUAUCGUCCAAGUUUAAGUUGUCAACGAACCUCUCGGCGAUGAAGAUAUGUGACAUGAAUGUAUUACACAGCUAUUGCACGAUAAAAAGGGGACCAUUUUCGUUAAAAUAAGUAUUUAUUAGUUUCCGCCAGCUGCCUAGACGUUUUUGAUAAAAGCCUCGACUAAGGACCGGCCCACAUGUGCUACAAAGCAUAAAAAUUCUGACUUGCGAAGCGUCUGUUUCACAACAUUCACUCGCCCAAAUUGGGGAUUCAAAAUAAGAUAUAAAAUCAUCUUGCCUGAGUAGUUUGCGAGCAAUCAUUUUUGACUCUAUUGUGCGUUUUGUUUAGUUAUUACAGACCAAGGGUGAAUGACAGUGAAUUCAGGAAUUUGUGCACAGCGAGAGGGAGAUAAGAAACAGACAGAACAGCCUGAGAGCUAGUUUGCUUGACGAACCUUGACAAUCUCAGCUGGAAUUCUUUGGGCCUUUUUAAGGAACAAUGAGCACUCCUUCAAAGGUGCACCUUGACUUUGUCAAACAACCCAUAGGACAAAAACCGCCUUCCAAGCUCCCGGGAAUAGGUCCUGUUAUUGAAACAAACCUGAAGGGCGCAGGAAUUACCCGAGCAUAUCACAUUCUUGGCAUGUUUCUUUACCUCGAUAAAGAUCUCGCAGCGUUCACCUCCUGGCUGAAACGCUUCGGAGCGAAUGGGGGCCAUUGCCAAGCGUGUUUCAACGCCUUGAUCGAAUGGUACCAAAAUCACUUGGCCUGACAAUUAGAAUAAUCUAUAGAUCUGUAAUUGCAACGCCUUCAUACUAUUUACAUUGAGUUCGUAAUGUCGACGGUGUUAGCUCUACCUUGAGAAUAAAACUAGUGAUGUAAACA